UAUCCUAAAAAAGAGGACACUAUUUAACAAACAUCUCACCAUUCUUUUCUCUAUCAAUUACAAUUCAUUCUCAUGGCUUCUAAAUCAACCUCUCUUAUUUGGGUUGCCCUCAUUCUUUGUGUGUUCGUUUCAUUGACUGCCAUGAAAAUAGUUGAUGCUUCUGAGCUUCAUCAUACAAGGUCGUAUGAAAUGACUUGGAGUAGAAGACUUAUGAGUCGAGGUGAUUUGCCUCGUGGAGGAAAUUACCGCCAUCUAUGAUAAGGAUGUGUUAAGUUGCUAUUGUGAGAAGAAUGAAAUACAAAUUAAGAACUAAAACCUAUGUAUAUUGGAUAAUGAAUAGCUCUGAUUAUUGUAAUCGUGUGGUUUGACUUCCAUAUUUAUAGAAAGAUUAGUUCUACUUUUGUA